GAUGAACGCUAGCGGCAGGCUUAACACAUGCAAGUCGAGGGGUAGAGGUUGCUUGCAACCUUGAGACCGGCGCACGGGUGCGUAACGCGUAUGCAACCUACCUUUUACAGAGGGAUAGCCCAGAGAAAUUUGGAUUAAUACCUCAUAGUAUAUAACCUUCGCAUGUUGGUUAUAUUAAAGUUCCAACGGUAAAAGAUGGGCAUGCGUCCUAUUAGCUAGAUGGUAGGUAACGGCUUACCAUGGCAACGAUAGGUAGGGGUCCUGAGAGGGAGAGCCCCCACACUGGUACUGAGACACGGACCAGACUCCUACGGGAGGCAGCAGUGAGGAAUAUUGGACAAUGGGCGCAAGCCUGAUCCAGCCAUGCCGCGUGCAGGAAGAAGCAUCUAUGGUGUGUAAACUGCUUUUGUACAGGGAGAAACACCCCGACGUGUCGGGGCUUGACGGUACUGUAAGAAUAAGGAUCGGCUAACUCCGUGCCAGCCGCCGCCGUAA
rnacentral:rRNA from 1 species